GCCUGGGUGGCUCAGUCGGUUGGGUGUCUGACUUGGGCUCGGGUCACGAUCUCAUGGUUCGCGGGUUCGAGCCCCGCGUCGGGCU
rfam:Felis catus isolate Cinnamon breed Abyssinian chromosome D2, whole genome shotgun sequence.